CAGUCGCCACGGUAAUACGGAGGGGGCUAGCGUCGUUCGGAAUUACUGGGCGUAAAGCGCACGUAGGCGGCUUUGUAAGUUAGAGGUGAAAGCCUGGGGCUCAACUCCAGAAUUGCCUUUAAGACUGCAUCGCUUGAACGUCGGAGAGGUGAGUGGAAUUCCGAGUGUAGAGGUGAAAUUCGUAGAUAUUCGGAAGAACACCAGUGGCGAAGGCGGCUCACUGGACGACUGUUGACGCUGAGGUGCGAAAGCGUGGGGAGCAAACAGGAUUAGAUACCCGCGUAGUCCCUGUCUCUUAUAC
rnacentral:rRNA from 1 species